rnacentral:lncRNA from 1 species
CAACAGCCUCCUGAGUCUGUUGGGCUUUUGGUAAGUCCAAAACCAUAAACGGAUUUGUUAAGUCUUUACCAGCUACCGUUUGAGCUGGACUAGCUAUAGACUUCUUGGGCUCUAUAGUAACUGAAACUGUCUGAAAAUCUGAAUUUAGAAUUUUUAUUUUAAUAAUUUUUUGUUCUAGAUCAGAAAUCUUCUUUUGUAAAAAUAAUUUUUUUUGUUGUAAAAUCUGAUUUGAUUCAUUUAAAAUUUUAAAAUUUCUAGUCAUGCAUUCACAAUAUUGACAAAAAUUUGAUGAAAAAAAUGUUUCAAAUCAGCCAUUAGAUUUUUCAUCAAAUUUUUGUCAACAUUGUGAAUGCAUGACUAGAAAUUUUAAUACAUUUUCUCCUAAAAAAAUUUAUCUUUUUCCCAAUAUUUUAAUACAUUUUCUCCUAAAAUUUCUAAUUUUUCUAGUUUACUAAUCAUGUUUUCUAUAUCUUGUUCUGUUACUAACAAAUUAUAUAUUUUUUCAAUUUCUACAAAAUUUAAACAUAUUUCUUCUUCUUCAUAAUAUUCUUCUAAAAAAAUUUUUAAUUUUAAAUUGUUUUUAUUCUUAGAUAUGAUAAUAUCCUAAAAAAAAUAUAUUUAUGUUUUUAAACUACUGAUGGAUCAUUCCGGUAGGUAUGUUUUAUUGUUCUAAGAUAUGGUACUAAUAAUCAAUAUUAGUUCCAAAUCUUUAAAGAACAAAUGUUAUUUAUAAGAUUUUUUGUUUUUGUAAAUUCUUUGUAAAGUUUUAUGUUUCAUGCUGAGUAUAUGAUAAGAGCAUGUCUUGACUUCAAGUUAAAGUUUUAUGUUUCAUGCUGACAGUGUCGCUGGUCCGGAUGGCUUCUCAUCCCUAUUCUUCCAGCAUUGCUGGGAUAUCAUUCAGGAGGAUGUUUACAGGGCGGUAUUGGAUUUCUUUGAUGGUAGUCAUCUUCCACGGGGUUUUGCUGCUACUUCUAUUGUCUUGCUACCUAAGAAGGAUGGUGCUUGCAGAUGGACUGAAUUCAUACCAAUCAGUUUAUGCACAGUGUUCAAUAAGAUUAUUACUAAGCUUUUGAACACUCGGUUGAGUACACUGCUACCGCGCAUUAUUUCCUCUCCACAGAGUGGUUUCAUCCCAGGCCGUCUGAUUGGAGAUAAUGUUUUAUUGGCUCAGGAGCUUCUCUACACUUUGGAUGAUAGAGUACGAGGGGGAAACACUAUGCUGAAGUUAGACAUGGCUAAAGCAUAUGAUCGCAUGGACUGGGGCUUCAUUUAUUCUAUAUUGGAGGCAUUUGGAUUUGAUCAGAUCUGGAUUGACAGAAUCAGGCGGUGCGUUUCGGAGUGUCGUUUCUCCGUACUCCUAAAUGGCCGCCCAUGUGGUUUUUUCCCUCCUCACGAGGAUUCAGACAGGGUGAUCCUAUCUCCCCAUCCUUGUUCAUCAUUGCAGCAGACUACUUCUCACGCUUGCUCACUCAGAGGUUUCAGCAGUAUCCCAGUAUGUGUUAUCGACAUGGAGGUAGUGCUCUUGUCUCACAUCUCUCAUUUGCUGACGAUAUGAUCAUCUUUGCCAACGGUCAGAAACAGUCUAUCAGGAGGGUCUUAGACUGCUUGGAGCACUAUGAAGGAGUUUCUGGCCAAUUGGUGAAUAGAGACAAGAGCGGUAUUAUACUAUCCAGACGGGCAUCCACUAGUCAGAUCAGACGACUAGAGAUUUUGACUGGCUUCAGACAUCAGCAGCAGCCUUUCACUUACUUGGGUGUCCCCUUAUUCAAGGGGACUAAGAGGAGCUUCCUUUAUGAUAACCUUAUCCAGAAGAUAAGGAAUAGGAUAUCAGGUUGGGCCUCACGAUUACUAUCGCCUGGGGGUCGUAUUACAUUACUGAGGUCAGUACUUUCUUCCAUACCUUUACAUCUUCUUCAGAUUAUGCAGCCGCCCAAGGCAGUGCUGAAGAAACUUGAGA